rnacentral:rRNA from 1 species
UACGUAGGGGGCUAGCGUUGUCCGGAUUUAUUGGGCGUAAAGAGCGUGUAGGCGGCCAGGUAGGUCUGCUGUGAAAACUCGAGGCUCAACCUCGAGACGUCGGCGGAAACCAUCUGGCUAGAGUCCGGAAGAGGAGAGUGGAAUUCCUGGUGUAGCGGUGAAAUGCGCAGAUAUCAGGAGGAACACCUGCGGUGUAGACGGCUUACUGGACCAUAACUGACGCUGAGGCACGAAAGCGUGGGUAGCAAACAGG